rnacentral:rRNA from 1 species
UACGUAGGGGGCAAGCGUUAUCCGGAUUUACUGGGUGUAAAGGGCGUGUAGGCGGGAUAGCAAGUCAGAUGCGAAAUACCAAGGCUUAACUUUGGGGGUGCAUUUGAAACUGUUAUUCUUGAGUGUCGGAGAGGGAAGCGGAAUUCCUAGUGUAGCGGUGAAAUGCGUAGAUAUUAGGAGGAACACCAGUGGCGAAGGCGGCUUUCUGGACGAUAACUGACGCUGAGGCGCGAAAGCGUGGGGAGCGAACAGGAUUAGAUACCCGCGUAGUCCCUGA